GGAGAGGUGCCAGAGCGGUUGAACGGGGCGGUCUCGAAAACCGUUGACCACGCAAGUGGUCCGAGGGUUCGAAUCCCUCCCUCUCCG
rnacentral:tRNA from 1 species